AUGCUUAUCCGUAUUCCUAUCCAACCGGCCGCGUCUUCCUCCCCAUCCACCCGCAGCCAGGAGGCGAGCUCAUCGCCAUGGCCGUCGGCGACUCGAUGCGCCUCCUGUGGAUCGACGACGCGGGAUGCAUCCCUCUCCAUGGCCGUUCGCAGCCACGGGCACACUCGUCGCCUUGUCCGCCUCCGCCAACAGCUGGAUGUGCGCCCUCUCCAUGGCCGCCACAGCCAGGGUGCGCCAGUCGCCAUGGCCAAGCUGCAACCGGCCACGGCGGCGGCGAGUUCGUGCUGGAACCGAGGGGGUUUGCUGGAACCAGCUGUUGUGUGUGCUACAAGGUCGAUGACUUGCCGGAGGAAGCUACAUCCAGCGGCGAAGAGUGCUGCAUCCAACACCGUUCGAUGUCGGGAGCUGCAACCGUGCACGUUGGAGCUGCAAUUGGCUACUGGAGGAGCUGCAAGAGGGGAGGCCAUUUUUGCGAAUGUGUUUUCUUUUUGCCGAACCAAUUUUGUUUUUGCUGGAACCGAUGUAUUUUUUUGCUGGAACCGAGAUAUUUUUUUUUUGCUUCAACGACUGCAGAGCUCUCAAAUGCUCAUGUCGUUUUUGCUGGAACCUAAGUUUGAUUGUGUUGGAAGGAUUUUUGAUUUUGCUUCAACCGACCACCGGACUUUGAUCCGUGGAGAAGAUUUUUGCUGGAAGAAUUUUGCUGCUUCCGAUUUUUGCUGCUUGGCACUCUGA
rnacentral:rRNA from 1 species